rnacentral:ncRNA from 1 species
CAGCCGCGGUAAUACGUAGGGCGCAAGCGUUAUCCGGAAUUAUUGGGCGUAAAGAGCUCGUAGGCGGUUUGUCGCGUCUGCUGUGAAAUCCCGAGGCUCAACCUCGGGCCUGCAGUGGGUACGGGCAGACUAGAGUGCGGUAGGGGAGAUUGGAAUUCCUGGUGUAGCGGUGGAAUGCGCAGAUAUCAGGAGGAACACCGAUGGCGAAGGCAGAUCUCUGGGCCGUAACUGACGCUGAGGAGCGAAAGGGUGGGGAGCAAACAGGCUUAGAUACCCUGGUAGUCCACCCCGUAAACGUUGGGAACUAGUUGUGGGGUCCAUUCCACGGAUUCCGUGACGCAGCUAACGCAUUAAGUUCCCCGCCUGGGGAGUACGGCCGCAAGGCUAAAACUCAAAGGAAUUGACGGGGACCCGCACAAGCGGCGGAGCAUGCGGAUUAAUUCGAUGCAACGCGAAGAACCUUACCAAGGCUUGACAUAUACGAGAACGGGCCAGAAAUGGUCAACUCUUUGGACACUCGUAAACAGGUGGUGCAUGGUUGUCGUCAGCUCGUGUCGUGAGAUGUUGGGUUAAGUCCCGCAACGAGCGCAACCCUCGUUCUAUGUUGCCAGCACGUAAUGGUGGGAACUCAUGGGAUACUGCCGGGGUCAACUCGGAGGAAGGUGGGGAUGACGUCAAAUCAUCAUGCCCCUUAUGUCUUGGGCUUCACGCAUGCUACAAUGGCCGGUACAAAGGGCUGCAAUACCGUGAGGUGGAGCGAAUCCCAAAAAGCCGGUCCCAGUUCGGAUUGAGGUCUGCAACUCGACCUCAUGAAGUCGGAGUCGCUAGUAAUCGCAGAUCAGCAACGCUGCGGUGAAUACGUUCCCGGGUCUUGUACACACCGCCCGUCAAGUCAUGAAAGUCGGUAACACCUGAAGCCGGUGGCCUAACCCUUGUGGAGGGAGCUGUCGAAGGUGGGAUCGGUAAUUAGGACUAAGUCGUAACAAGGUAGCCGUACCGGAAGGUGCGGCUGGAUCACCUCCUUU